CUGCUUUUCAAGGAAGCUCAGUGUUCAGUGUUUUAGCCAUCCAGGCAGUAGCCAGGGCCAGAGAUUUGUUCGACAUUACCACUGAGUU